CCUACGGUGAGCAGCAGUGAGGAAUAUUGGUCAAUGGACGAGAGUCUGAACCAGCCAAGUAGCGUGAAGGAUGACUGCCCGAUGGGUUGUAAACUUCUUUUAUAUGGGAAUAACAUGUUCCACGUGUGGGAUUUUUUAUUUACCAUAUGACUAAGGCACGGAUAACUCCGUGCCAGCAGCCGCGGUAAUACGGAGGAUCCGAGCAUUAUCCGGAUUUAUUGGGUUUAAAGGGAGCGUAGGUGGAUUGUUAAGUCAGUUGUGAAAGUUUGCGGCUCAACCGUAAAAUUGCAUUUGAAACUGGCAGUCUUGAGUACAGUAGAGGUGGGCGGAAUUCGUGGUGUAGCGGUGAAAUGCUUAGAUAUCACGAAGAACUCCGAUUGCGAAGGCAGUUCACUGGACUGCAACUGACACUGAGGCUCGAAAGUGUGGGUAUCAAACAGGAUUAGAUACCCUUGUAGUC
rnacentral:rRNA from 1 species